UGGAGAGGAGGUGUGUAUUAUGGAUAUACCUCAUCUUUAGGUACUUCUGAUUGAAGAUCUUCUUGUGGUCCAACCACUGGUAUUUCUGGAUCGAUUUGUAGAUCAUGAACUUUAGUAAGUUCAAUAUUUCUUCCACUGCCUCCUUCUUGGAUGAGUUCAUUUUUCAAAAAAGUGGCGUGCCUACUAACCAACACAUUUUGUUCAGUAGGUGGUAGAAGUAGUAUCCAUUAGUUUCCUUAGGAUACCCUACAAACCUAUACUUAUCUGAUCUAGCACUAAGCUUAUGUCUAAAAAUACUUCUGAUAUAAGCA
rnacentral:lncRNA from 1 species